rnacentral:rRNA from 1 species
GUGCCAGCAGCCGCGGUAAUACAGAGGUCCCGAGCGUUGUUCGGAUUCACUGGGCGUAAAGGGUGCGUAGGUGGCGAAGUAAGUCGGAUGUGAAAUCUCGGAGCUUAACUCCGAAACGGCAUUGGAAACUACUUUGCUAGAGGUUUGGAGGGGGGACUGGAAUGCUUGGUGUAGCAGUGAAAUGCGUAGAUAUCAAGCGGAACACCAGUGGCGAAGGCGAGUCCCUGGACAACACCUGACACUGAGGCACGAAAGCUAGGGGAGCAAACAGGAUUAGAAACCCCAGUAGUCC